rnacentral:rRNA from 1 species
UACGUAGGGUGCAGGCGUUAAUCGGAAUUACUGGGCGUAAAGCGUGCGCAGGCGGCGCGUUAAGACAGGUGUGAAAGCCCCGAGCUUAACUUGGGAAUUGCGCUUGUGACUGGCGAGCUGGAGUGUGGCAGAGGGAGGUGGAAUUCCACGUGUAGCAGUGAAAUGCGUAGAGAUGUGGAGGAACACCGAUGGCGAAGGCAGCCUCCUGGGCCAGCACUGACGCUCAUGCACGAAAGCGUGGGGAGCAAACAGG